rnacentral:lncRNA from 1 species
GCACAUUCAGAGGGCAGGACCUGGUGCCCAAGCCUGUAGGACUGAGCUGGCAGCAGGCACCCAGCUAGCUCAGAGCUCUGCUACAGGAUUGGCAAGUAAACAUGACAGCUGUUUCCUUCUAAGGGUCUUAGAGCAGCAGAAGGCUUAUGCAGCUCUUGGGCAGAAACCUGGAGAAGCCUGGACAAGACAGACUGAAAUCCAAGAUUUUGAAACUGAAACCUCAAGUCUUCUGAGGUCUUGGGCUUGCUGCCUUCCAACUAGAACUUACACCAUCAGCCUUCCUGGGUCUCCAGCCUUCACACUUAAACUGGACUUACACCAUUGACUCUCCUGGAUCUGUACGUUGCCACCUGCAGAUAUGGUGACCUCUCAGCCUGGGUUAUUAUCAAAAGAGAAUCAAGGCAGCAGAUGGAAUUAUCGUCACUAAUCAGCUGGCUUGGAGAUAUGGAGAUGGUUAUGGAUUAUUCAGGAUCAAUUUUCGUAGAAGCUCUAUUUAUAAGCACAAGAAAUUGGAAACAAGCCAAAUGUCUUUCAGCUGAUGAAUGGACAAACCAAUUGUGGCAUAUCCAUACAAUGGAGUACAAUGCAGCAUCAAAAAGAAACACACCGUAGACACCUGCAACAACUUGGAUUAAUCUCAGAGGGAUUAUGGUGCUGGCCAUGCAGGGACUUGGUCUCUGAAUGAGAUGAAGAGCCAUUAGCCUAUGAGCAGAGGAGCAGCAUAACAGGACUUCCGUUUUCAAGACACCUCUUUGGCUGUGAUGUUAGGAAUGAGGUAGAAACAGGGAGACCAGUUAGAAGGUUGUCACCAUAAUCAAGGUACCAGCAUGGGAGGGGUGAAAAGCAAUCAGCCUCCGGAUAUACUUUAAAGGUAAAGUUGACAGGAUUUGAUCCUCAAAUUCAAUUUAACUAAGCAUGCUCCGUCCAUGCAGAAAUGACUGCUCUACAGACAUUUUUUAAUAACCCUUUUUAACAGUUUUUUAUUUUCAUGGAAAUAAUCUUAAAAAUGAUGGAUAGAAUAAUGUAAUAUACUAUGUAUUAUAUAAUAUAAAAUAUAGUAUAACUGUAUAUAUUAAAAAUCUAGUCACAUACGCAACAAAAUAUAUAAUCUACACAUAUUCUUAGUGCAAGCAUAUUAUGACUAGGUGUGUCUAGUCUCAAGUUUAUUUAACUAAAUAAUGUUUUGCUUUGUUUUAUUCUAAGCCAUGAUAUUCUGCAAAUGCCAUGUAUUCUGUUAAUGUAGCUAUGAACAAAUAGCUAUACAGGUAUUGUAUUGCCAUGUCCCCCCUCUUUGGUCUAUGACAUUAAAAUACUGUAUAUCCAGUUUGAACUUUUCUUCUCUAAGCCAGCUCUGCUCAGAAUGCAGCAGUCUCCUAUUUUUCUUCUGUAGGCUUAGCUUAUCAUCUUGCCCCUCCAUUGUCCUCCAAAUUCUUAGUCUUUAAACUGAUCUUGCCCUUACACACAUUUCCCUCAGAAAAUUUUUGUUCCACCUUACACAUUGCUGACAAAUUUUCUUCAUCUUCCCUCCUUUUCUUCCUUGAGUUAGUCUCCUAUUGGUGGACCAAUCAGAGUAGGCCGUUUCCCUUCCCCCAGGAGGUUUAUAGAACCAUCUCUGCAAACUAACUAGAGAUUCUGCGAUUGAAGCCAAGAUAUCAGUUGAAGCUAUAAAUAAAAAGUAGCAGUCUAAGGUGAAGUAGUCUUUUUUUCUCUAAGUUAUUUAGCACAACGCCAUCAUUUCAUCUCUUCUACACAUUUUAUUAUUACAUUGCAUUUUAAUAUUCAGUAUGACACCCCAUAUGAAAUGCUGAAACCCCCUGUCGACACUUUAUUGUGUAUUCCAUUUUUUUCUGCAUGGAAUCUGAAUAUUAUUUUAUAAAAUGUUUCUCUUAGAUGAAAUUAGAGAGUAAACCAGUGUUAUUUAGGAAUUCACAAUUGCAUAUCGACCCCCUAUUGUGGAAAGAUUAAGUGUGAUUUCAAACAAUAGAAGGCAAUCCCAGGAAGAAAUCAUAAAGAUGGGUAUGUUGAUUAUGAUGUCACAGUUUGGCUUUGGGUUAAUAUACCUCAGCAAAGAUCUGAUAAUGGCUUUAUCAGAGUCGUCGUUACACUUAGAUGAUCCACUUUGGCUACUUGGCAAUCCAAAUUUUGCUUCAGCAUUGAGGAUCCUCCAUGUACACUUUCAUUUUAGAUCUCUUUUCUUGUUUCAGUGGAAUAAAUUUGCUUUAUAGUUGUCAGUAGAUUACAAUAUUCUUAGUUACUACCAUUUUGUGUUAAUUGCACCAGUCUUGACUUCUUCGUCAAUAUUGUUUUAUAAUUACACUUAUGAAAGCACAGUCUGAUUAUUAUGCCUACUGUUUAAGAAAAUCACAGGGUAUUAAUAGAUCUGUAUAUAAGUAAUCAUUUUCCAGCGUGGUCUAAUGACUAUAUCAUCUCAUUCAUAAAAAUGUGUAAAUUAUAUUCACCAUAUUAUCAAACACCUGGACAGAAAAUAAAAUAUUUGUUAAAUGUCUGAGCAGAAAGAAAAUUGCUUGGAAUGAAUGUUUCCAUUUUCAUCCUAUCCACUAUUAUAUUAGUUGAUCCUUGGGAACAAAGUUUCUGUCAUUU